UACGGAGGGUGCGAGCGUUAAUCGGAAUUACUGGGCGUAAAGCGCACGUAGGCGGUUGGGUAAGUCGGAUGUGAAAGCCCUGGGCUUAACCUGGGAACUGCAUUCGAUACUGCUCGGCUAGAGUAUGGGAGAGGGAAGCGGAAUUUCCGGUGUAGCGGUGAAAUGCGUAGAUAUCGGAAGGAACACCAAUGGCGAAGGCAGCUUCCUGGCCCAAUACUGACGCUCAGGUGCGAAAGCGUGGGGAUCAAACAGG
rnacentral:rRNA from 1 species